GUGGGGAGCAAAACAGGAAUAGAUACCUGUAGUCCACGCCGUAAACGAUGAGUGCUAGGUGUUAGGCCCUUUCCCGGGGCUUAAGUGCCGCAGCUAACGCAUUUAAGCACUCCCGCCUGGGGAGUACGACCGCAAGGUUGAAACUCAAAGGAAUUGACGGGGGCCCGCACAAGCGGUGGAGCAUGUGGUUUAAUUCGAAGCAACGCGAAGAACCUUACCAGGUCUUGACAUCCCGAUGCUAUUCCUAGAGAUAGGAAGUUUCUUCGGAACAUCGGUGACAGGUGGUGCAUGGUUGUCGUCAGCUCGUGUCGUGAGAUGUUGGGUUAAGUCCCGCAACGAGCGCGACCCCCAUUGUUAGUUGCCAUCAUUAAGUUGGGCACUCUAGCGAGACUGCCGGUAAUAAACCGGAGGAAGGUGGGGAUGACGUCAAAUCAUCAUGCCCCUUAUGACCUGGGCUACACACGUGCUACAAUGGUUGGUACAACGAGUCGCGAGUCGGUGACGGCAAGCAAAUCUCUUAAAGCCAAUCUCAGUUCGGAUUGUAGGCUGCAACUCGCCUACAUGAAGUCGGAAUCGCUAGUAAUCGCGGAUCAGCACGCCGCGGUGAAUACGUUCCCGGGCCUUGUACACACCGCCCGUCACACCACGAGAGUUUGUAACACCCGAAGUCGGUGAGGUAACCUUUUGGAGCCAGCCGCCUAAGGUGGGAUAGAUGAUUGGGGUGAAGUCGUAACAAGGUAACCGUA
rnacentral:rRNA from 1 species